rnacentral:rRNA from 1 species
UACAGAGGGUGCGAGCGUUAAUCGGAAUUACUGGGCGUAAAGCGCGCGUAGGCGGCUUUGCAAGUCGGGUGUGAAAUCCCCAGGCUUAACCUGGGAACUGCAUUCGAGACUGCAUUGCUAGAGUAUGGGAGAGGGAAGUGGAAUUCCCGGUGUAGCGGUGAAAUGCGUAGAUAUCGGGAGGAACAUCAGUGGCGAAGGCGGCUACCUGGCCCAAUACUGACACUCAGGUGCGACAGCGUGGGGAGCAAACAGG